rnacentral:rRNA from 1 species
CCUACGGGUGGCAGCAGUGGGGGAUAUUGCACAAUGGGGGAAACCCUGAUGCAGCGACGCCGCGUGAGUGAAGAAGUAUUUCGGUAUGUAAAGCCCUAUCAGCAGGGAAGAAAAUGACAGUACCUGACCAAGAAGCCCCGGCUAACUACGUGCCAGCAGCCGCUGUAAUACGUAGGGGGCAAGCGUUAACCGGAUUUACUGGGGUUAAAGGGAGCGUAAGCGGUUAUGUAAGUCUGGAGUGAAAGCCCGGGGCCCAACCCCGGGACUGCCUUGGAAACUGUGUGACUGGAGUACAGGAGGGGCAGGCGGAAUGCGUGGUGUAGCGGUGAAAUGCGUAGAUAUCAGGAGGAACACCGACGGCGAAGGCGGCCUGCUGGAGUGAUACUGACGUUGAGGCACGAAAGCGUGGGGAGCGAACAGGAUUAGAUACCCGAGUAGUC